UUAAAGUUUAAUGAGUUUCGGCGCUCUGUCUUUAAUAUUUUCUCUUGGAUGAAAACGUACUAACACCCCAAUUUAAGCUAUAUUCAUUGUUAAGGAAACGAAAGCAAGGGUAUGAAGAUCCAGUGAAGCAAUUUUGGGUGGCAAGAAUGCGAGUUUUUUAUAUUUUCACCAUAACGCUGCGGAAAGCAAUAAUUUUACAUUCCAAUGAUACUAGAAAUAGUUAUUUCUAAUGCACAUAUCUUACGAUUACAAUUUGGACCCACCCUAAGUUUAAGUAAGGUCAAAGGGACAAAUAACGAAUACCUGUAAUGGGGGUCAGUAAAACGCGCUAUUUACGGCUCGUAUGGCUUUGGGAUACAUAAAUGAGUAGUUUGCGGUAUCCUAAAUUGCUUGUAAAGGCUUCAUUUAACCGAUGGUAUUGUUUGAAUAAACACAAGAAACGUUGUUUUCAUAUAUUAUGUAGUCGAAAAGAAGAAUAUAGCUUCUAACAAUAACAUAUUGUUAAUUAAGUUCAAAAAAAUUCUAAUGUUUGACUAUCUAGAUAUGAAAACAUAUUUCAAGCUUACAUCAAAUAAACCAUAUAUUUAAAAAAACAGGACAAAAGUAGUGGUUUUAGUCGUGCACUUUUGCCUAGUUACUUGAUAUUUUAGACAAUUCACACAUAUUUAUAUUAAUUAUUGUAGCCUCAUCCAUCAUCAAAUCCAUUAAGUAGUUUUACGUGAAAGAGUAACAAACAUACUUAUAUACUAUAUACUAUACAACUAUACUUACAAACUUUCACGAUUCUAAUAUAAGUAGGAUUUGUUUGUUGGAAAUAUCAUAUACACAUAAAUCAAGAGAGUCGAAUAAAUUCACGGAGACUUCAUUUUCUAUUGGAAAUAUGCCUAUUCCCUAUGUUAGUAAAUAAGACACAACAUGGGUGUGAAUUUGAAGUGAAUUUCUGAAGUAAAUACAAUUAAUAGCAAACAGAGCUUUUCAGUACUCAGUGAAUUCUCUAUGGAAUCCGGUUUGAGCUAAGUGAGAAAGAUUGCUUUAUACUCAAGAGAUGUUCCGUUUACAUUGAGCUAGUCAUUGUGCAUAGUUAAAAAAAAAUAUUUCACCGUAUGCAGGUUUAAAAUCGAACGCAUUCAUCUUACUACUUGAGACCUUCCGUCUCAAUUAGAUUCCAUAGUAUUUCUAUGUACAAGAGCGGAGAUGUUGCGAUAUAAUUAUUAAUAAUACAUAGAUAAGGUUAAUUUAGUUGUUAUAACUUUACAAUGGAAUAGAUGCAAUUUAUUAGGAAGGGCUUUAGGAGCUUCAACUAACACCAAUAUUGUUACAAAAUUGUAUUCAUAUCUAUUUUAUUUAAUGAAUGUAAAUAGGAUAUGGAAGAAUAAAGGUUUAUUAUUAUC